rnacentral:rRNA from 1 species
UACGUAGGGUGCAAGCGUUGUCCGGAAUUAUUGGGCGUAAAGGGCUCGUAGGCGGUUUGUCGCGUCGGGAGUGAAAACCAGGUGCUUAACACCUGGCUUGCUUUCGAUACGGGCAGACUAGAGGUAUUCAGGGGAGAACGGAAUUCCUGGUGUAGCGGUGAAAUGCGCAGAUAUCAGGAGGAACACCUAUUGCGAAGGCAGCUCGCUGGGACGUAACUGACGCUGAGACGCGAAAGCGUGGGGAGCAAACAGG